GAUGAACGCUGGCGGCGUGCCUAAUACAUGCAAGUCGAGCGAACAGACGAGGAGCUUGCUCCUCUGACGUUAGCGGCGGACGGGUGAGUAACACGUGGAUAACCUACCUAUAAGACUGGGAUAACUUCGGGAAACCGGAGCUAAUACCGGAUAAUAUAUUGAACCGCAUGGUUCAAUAGUGAAAGACGGUUUUGCUGUCACUUAUAGAUGGAUCCGCGCCGCAUUAGCUAGUUGGUAAGGUAACGGCUUACCAAGGCAACGAUGCGUAGCCGACCUGAGAGGGGGAUCGGCCACACGGGAACUGAGACACGGUCCAGACUCCUACGGGAGGCAGCAGUAGGGAAUCUUACGCAAUGGGCGAAAGCCUGACGGAGCAACGCCGCGUGAGUGAUGAAGGUCUUCGGAUCGUAAAACUCUGUUAUUAGGGAAGAACAAAUGUGUAAGUAACUAUGCACGUCUUGACGGUACCUAAUCAGAAAGCCACGGCUAACUACGUG
rnacentral:rRNA from 1 species